rnacentral:lncRNA from 1 species
AGGGACAGAGCCAGCGCCGGGCCACCACACCGGUCGGGGGAGGGUAGGCGAGAGGAGCUCUAUGCUGAGAGUCCCAGGAGGGUGGAGAGAAUACACAGGGCAGGCCUGGGGGAGCCACCCAAGCGGGAAGGUCGGAGAGCAUCUUUAUUGUGGGGAGCGGCCUGGCCCCCAAAGUUCUGACACCAAAGACAGACACCAGACAGGCAGCUGCAGACAGUGAGUUGUGUGGAUGACCAGGGCCUGUGUGGCGGACAGGGGACCAGGAGCCAUCGCCUCAGACUCUGCCCUUCUGUACAAGGGCUGGUGCCCCGGGCUCAGGCAUGCAGGAAGCGGUUGAAGGCGUUGUAGGCUGACUCCAGGUCGAACAGCAUCUGACGCACCUGUGAGUCGUCCAGCUCAUCUGACGCCGACAUGCCGCUCAGGGUCUGCAGCCUGGGAGUGCAGCACACGGCAUGUGGGGGCAGGCAGGGUCUCAGGGGCAGUGCAGGGCCUCUGCCUGGCUGGGAGGGUCUCAGGGGCACUGUGGGGGCUCUGCCUAGCUGGGAGGGUCUCAGGGGCACUGCGGGGCUCCGCCUGGCUGGGAGGGCCUCAGGGGCACUGCGGGGGCUCCGCCUGGCUGGGAGGGCCUCAGGGGCACUGCGGGGGCUCCGCCUGGCUGGGAGGGCCUCAGGGGCACUGCGGGGGCUCCGCCUGGCUGGGAGGGUCUCAGGGGCACUGCGGGGCUCCGCCUGGCUGGGAGGGUCUCAGGGGCACUGCGGGGCUCCGCCUGGCUGGGAGGGACACCCACCACUGGCUGACCGUCUGGCGGCCCUCGAAGUCGGGCGGGAGGUGGCUCAUGCGGUGCAUGGUCUCCAUCAGCUCUCGCAGGUCGGGCUGGAUCUGAGACACACACAGCGUCUGGGACCCCGACACCGGCUCCAUCCCCUCCUGCCUAGGACCCCUGCCAGCCCAAUGCCCGCACCUCAUCCAUGGCGCGGAUCUCCAGGCGCAGCUUGUCCAUGACCGUGAUGAAGAGCUGGGGGCGGGUGUGCACGUGAGGCUCGCGUGUCCAGGGGUGCGGGAGGCCCCACGGCUCACAGGCCCCAACCCCUCCUCAGCCAUAGCUGUCACUUGGGCCUCCUCACUGCACUCUGUUCCCAAACCCUGCAGGCCUCCUGGGUGAACGAGGUCCUGGCUGCCCAGACAGCUGUGUGGGAACUGAAGGGUGGGCCCACACCCACACUCUCUCCCGAGGCCAGGACCCCGCCAGAACGCACCCUGUGCUCAUCUCCCCGACAGGAGUCCAGGUGGCCUGGGGGCGUCCCCGCAUGCUGCCCACCCCUCAUUCCUAGUUAAAGGGGUUCCCUUCUGCCCAGCAAGUCAGAGUGCUGCUCAGCUCUGGAGGCCCAGGACCCUACGCUCGUGCCCAGCUGCAGCAGGCAGCCUCAGCCCUCCUAACCACGUGCCCUGGGGGCUGGGGCGCACCGAGACCACGUCGGCGAUGCAGCGAUUGAGGUUGCCCUUGUCGUCCUUGAUGGUGAUGGGCCGGUCCUCCUUGAUCCGCUCCAUGGCCAGCGGGCAGUCCAGCUGUGGGGGGUGACAUGGGUGCCGGGGCUCUCAGGACAGCAAGCCCCAGGUGGCCAGAGCCCUCUGGCACCCCAUACCCAUGCCCGACAGUCCCGCCCCACGGGGGUGGAAGGACCAGGCACUCACGCGGAACUUGCGGCAGAAUUCGUCAAUAGAGCUGAUUUCCGAGCCCUGGACCUGCCUGAAGGCAGCUUUGUACUGGACCAGGAGCCGGGAGCAGGCUGCAGGGCCAUUCCCUCCAGCCGCGCAGCCCCCGGGACGUCACCGGCGCAGCAGACUCGAAGCCCGGUCUUACCCCGCCCACCCGCCUGCCAGGCAGCCACGGGGAGGGAGGCAGCAGCUUCACUUAUUUUAUUUUAUUUUUUUUUGAGACGGAGUCUCGGUCUGUCGCCCUGGCUGGAGUGCAGUGGUGCCAUCUCGGCUCACUGCAAGCUCCGCCUCCCGGGUUCACGCCAUUCUCCUGCCUCAGCCUCCUGAGUAGCUGGGAUUACAGCCGUAUGCCACGACGUCCGGCUAAUUUUGUAUUUUUAGUAGACAGGGUUUCACCAUGUUGGCCAGGCUGGUCUCAAACUCCUGACCUCAGGUGAUCCGCUCACUUGGGCCUCCCAAAGUGCUGGGAUUACAGGUGUGAGCCACCGCGCCUGGCUUAGGGGCUAUCUUUGAGUCGGCCCUGGCUCUGCUCCCCAGGUCUCAGUGCUGUGGACCCCCAGAGCCUAGAGGAUGUUUCAUGGGAUCCCAGCCACUCCGGGCAUAGGAGCCCUGGGAACAAGCCGGAGCUGUAUGAGAAGUGAAGUUGUACAAGAACGCCCGGGAGCGGGAGAAGGUCAGUCUGGGGAACUGUUCCUGGAGGCACUCCAGGAUGGAGCGAGAGUACGACAACAUGGCAGAGCUGUUUGCGGUGGUGAAGACAAUGCAAGCCCUGGAGAAGGCCUACAUCAAGGACUGUGUCUCCCCCAGCGAACAGGCAACCUUAAAAAACGGUCGAGAGGCUUGGGGAUGUCCCAGGAUCUUCACAGGUGGGCUGCAGGGUAGGGCAGGCGACGCCUCACCUGUGUGGGACAGGGAUGAGGAAGAGAUGAUCCUGAACUUGAACUCGAACCCGGAUGGGAGGGGGCAGGGCCGGACCCUGGCAGGUGAAGGCAGCAGGGCUGAGUCAGGAGCCACAGUGGGCUCCACCCUACACCUGCCUGCCCGGAGUGGGGAGAGGGCUCUGCUCCAGGUCUGCAUACCCACCAAGGGCUGGCCUGCUGCAGAGAUGUCCCCACUGGGCUCUGAGACCCUGGGGGUGCUGGGGCUCCCUGGAGGUUCUGAAGCCAGGCUGCUGGGCCCUGCGUUAACUGGUGCACUGCAACUCUGCAUGCAGGUCAGGCGGACCUGCUUGGCUCGGGCACGGGGCCUGCUCUCCUCACUGUCCGACCCAGAGGUACUACUGGGCCUGCGGUUGUCUCCAGUGCCCCGGGGGCGGGGCCGGCGGCUGCGGGUCAGGGGCAUGUCCAGCUCCAGCCAGUCCCCGGCCAGGCACUGCUCCUCCGGGAUGAGCGCUGCCUGGGGAGCAAGGGCUUUGCUGUGGCCCCGCGGUGGGCCAGGCCCCAGCCGGCUCUGAGCACUGCCCACACCCCGGAUGGCUGCCUGGUAGGCUGCCCGGCUGGUGCUGGCUGUGGCUGCUUCCCUGUUGCUGGCGGGGCCAGGCGUCCAGGCCGCCACCCGUUGUGCUGUGGCCGAGCACCGAGGCCUCUUCUGGGACGGCCGUGCGGAGCCUGCGCUGUCCUCGCCUUCUGUGCUGCUGCUGCUGCUGGCUGGCCCAUGCCUGCUCCUCCGAGGCCUGGCCAUGGCUGGUGCCGCCUGCCCUGGGGAGACCCUGGCAUGGGCCUGAGAGGCCUCUGGGAGUCUAGUGCUAUUAGAGGGGGGUUCUGGGCAGGGGCUCAAAGGAGGAGAGGUCUCGGGGUCAAACAGAAGGCUGCUUGGGGCGUGGAAGGCCUGGGAGCUGUGGGGAUCUGUGGGAGAGAGAAUGCGUGUUGAGGCAGGGGCCCGGCACCUCCCGCUCCACCUGGGAUGGAGCAUCUCCUGAAAUCAGGGCCCGGGGACUCUCAGCGUAGGCACAGCAACCCCAGGGACAAGGGACGCCCUGCUUGCCUUGGCCCGAGGCAGCCGCCUGGAGCAGCAUCUCCAUGGCCCUGGCCUUCUGCCGCGUCUCCAGGUCCAGGUCCCUGCGGUACAGCUUCACCCACUGCUGCAGCGUCUCCAGCGGGCUGAGGCCCUGUUGUGGCAUCAGUUGAGCAGGGGGACAGCAGCCCCCAUAACCUCGCCCUUGCCCUCUGCCCCACCAGGCUCACCUUUCGAGUGCGGAGGGUGACGGACGCCCCCCGUUCAAGCAGCAGCUCAGCCACCUCGAAGUGGCCACAGUUGAGGGCAUCGUGCAGGGGGGUGAUGCCUUCGCAGCCCUGGCCACCCGGGUCGUCCACUGCGGCCCCGUGGUCCAGCAGGAAGCGGACAAUUUCUGCAGACCAGGAGAUGUGAGCCCAGCUCCCGAUGCCCCGCCAGGACUGACUCUUCGCCCCGCGUGUCCACCAAGUGGCCCUGAAGCUCCUCGUCCUCCUCCAGCUGCGGGGUCAGGCCAUCAGCGUCGUCCUCUGGAACAGAGCCAAGCCCACCCCAGCGGAGUCCGUGGGAGGCGAAGUGCCUGGCCACUCAGGGUUCUAACGACGCCCUCGAGUUCAGAGCUGAAGUCACAGCCUUCCCUGGAACACCCCCCAACAGGCCUCAUGGACAGGCUCCUGCCACCCACCACUCAGUCAGAAACCAGCCUCCCGGCUACCCGCUAACCCCGCUCUCAGAGGCCAAGGCCGCCCCAGGCUCCCUGCGGGUCACCACCUUCUCUGUCCAGUUCCGGGAAAGCACUGGCCGUCCUGCCUGCCUGUGGCUGUUCCUGCUACAAGCCCUAAGCAGGCUCCACAGCAGCACAGCACACCCCUCUCCAGCCCGGCCCAGAGCAGGCCCAGGGAAAUGCAAGGUGCCGCUGGCCCUCACCGCUCUCUGAGAGCUCCACCUCGCCGGCCUCCAGGGCUUCGCUCUCCGCUGUGGCUGCCGCCUCCUCCGCCUCCUCCUCCUCAUCUUCAUCUUCAGCUACACUGAGCUCCCGUAGUCUGGUUUCGGUCUCAGGGGCCUCCUGGGGCUGCAGCCUCAGCUGCAUGGUAUGGAGAUGCUGCAAGACCUGCCUCUGAGGAGCAGAGAGAUGCUCAGCUCAGGACUGGGGGCUGUGGAUGCAGAGAAAGAUGGGGAUGGGGCACAAGGGGCAGGCAGGCUGCAACGAAGCUGGGCUCAUUGGGGAGCCGGUGUGGGUGGGAUGGGCUCUUGCACCUGCAGCUGGGGACGCUGGGCCUGCUGGGCACAGCUGAGCGCCUUCUGGAAGCAUGGGGCCAGCAGCUCGUAGGCAUCGCCGGCCUCCUCGCGGGACAGUGCAAUGUUCAGCCAGGUCUUGGCCUCCUGGAGCAGGAGGAAAGACAGGGUCGGGGGCUGCCGCUCUCUGCAUCCAACGGGCCCCAGUCAAGCUUCCCCGGCUGCCCACACGAAACGGGAGCCUGGCCUCCCAGCUGCUGAGGGUGGAUGGUCCUAGGAAGGAGCUGCCCGUCCAGUAAGGACACCUGUCCAUGGCCACCCUGAGAACGGCAGUCCUGAGGCAGAGACAUGGGUGAACCUGCAUUCGGGCGGGGAGCAAGGAUUUCACCUCCAGCACGUUGCCGCUGCGCAGUCUCAGUUCCUCCUCAUAGUGGCGCACGGCCCCAUGGUGGUCCUUCAUGUCUCCCAGUGUGGUGGCCAGGGACACAUGGAUGAUGGCCCGCUCGGCACCCGGUCUGUCCAGCAGCUCAGCAAAACGCAGCUGGGGGCAGUGCCAGUGAGGCCAGGGGCUGCCACCCUGGCCAGGCCUCGUCAACCUCACUGGCCCUUCCCUCCCACCCAGCCGGGGCCACACACCUGCUUCUGGUAAGCCUCAGCUGCCCUGGGAAAGUCUCCUGCCUUGGAGAAGAGGUCCCCUAGCUGCUCACAGAUGACCAUGGCACCCUGAGGGUCACUGCCCUCGGCCUCUUCCAGCUGUUGCUGCAGCCGGACCACUGCCAGCA